GAUCAUGGCUCAGGAUGAACGCUAGCUACAGGCUUAACACAUGCAAGUCGAGGGGCAGCAUGAAGUUUGCUUGCAAACUUGAUGGCGACCGGCGCACGGGUGAGUAACGCGUAUCCAACCUUCCCCUUACUAGGGAAUAGCCCGGCGAAAGUCGGAUUAAUGCCCUAUGUUCUCCUUUGCGGGCAUCUAACGAGGAGCAAAGAUUCAUCGGUAAGGGAUGGGGAUGCGUCUGAUUAGCCAGUUGGCGGGUAACGCCACCAAGGCGACGAUCAGUAGGGGUUCUGAGAGGAAGGUCCCCCACAUUGGUACUGAGACACGGACCAAACUCCUACGGGAGGCAGCAGUGAGGAAUAUUGGUCAAUGGACGCGAGUCUGAACCAGCCAAGUAGCGUGCAAGGAUGACUGCCCUAUGGGUUGUAAACUGCUUUUAUGCGGGAAUAAAGUCAGGUACGCGUACCUGUUUGUAUGUACCGCAUGAAUAAGGACCGGCUAAUUCCGUGCCAGCCGCCGC
rnacentral:rRNA from 1 species